UUGACAGCAGUGCAGGGGGGAGGCAUGGGGUCAUAUCACAUGGGGCCGCUCAAGCGGUGAGGAGCUGCGGACCCGGGCACAGAGUUCCUAGGAAGUGACGGCGCGCAGGUGAGGACGCCAUAUGCGGCGGGUACUGAUGGCGCCUUCUCCUUCCUCGUACCCGGCACAACUUCCUCACGUGCGGGAGCAGCCUGGGCACAGGGAGGGGGCGGCACGGCUUCUGGAACAGCUGUGCCCGGCACGGGGAGGGUUAAAGGAGGAGGGAGUUCAUGGGCUCCAACAAAGAAUAUGGCGAGAGUCUCCCACAGCCGUCCCCGUGCCCUUCACCGGCGCCCGGCUCGGGUGAAGAGUGUUUUGUCAAAAGAAAAAGCUGGAAGAUGUCAAGAGGAGUUUCUGAAAUAUAUUAAAGUUUCUGCUGUGGCUUAGAUGACCAGGAUAAUGCAUUUAUUUUAUUUUAUUUUUUUUUCUUUGGGAGUCCCUGGUCCAACAAGUUCUUUAUAAACUUUUGUGCUCUGCGUGUUCUUAGUUACUCAAGAGCAGAGGUUUAGUUUGAGAGGAAGUGUAUGGUGGGGGUGCCGAUGUUCUAUAGCAAAUUUGGAAGGGAAACUGUUCCGUAAACACUUUUGGCUUAUCACUUGGCCGUUGGGAUGUUAAAUCUUGUCAUUUAUCGUUUAUAUUGUGUCUGUUUAUGCUGGUAUUGUACAUUUUGCAGGCAAAUGUCAUGUCCAGCAGCUGAUGUACUUUCCUUCUGAGUGACAGAUGAUGUAAACAUCCUACACUCUCAGCUGUGGAAUACAGAAAGCUGGGAGAAGGCUGUUUACGCUGUCUGCCUUGGAUAGCAACCGACUGGAAGUGAACUGAAAGCCUCUAGACAUCACUUCUUCAGUUCAGGUUUUUGUCACCUUCUUACUCAUUGUCUGCACCGAUUAUUAUAAAAAUAUAUAAAAUGUUUGUUUUUUAUACUUUUCAUGUUUUUGAAGUUUACUGUAUAUCAAAGGAGACAUAGGCCUCUUAAUAAAUUAAGCGCAUGUCUGGCUGACUUUCA